rnacentral:lncRNA from 1 species
GUUUAUAACAUCAUCAAGGACUAUAAAUUUGGUCAGAGUAUUGAGACAGAAAUAGUUUCUAAAGUAUUGAAAUUCGAGAAACCGGUUUCCGAUCGUUAUUGUCAGCUUAUGGUGAAAAGUUUUGUGAAAAAUAUGUUGCAGCCUAAUGGGUGAAGGGUCAGGUAUUUUUUGUUAGGAUAUUUAACGUUUGAUAUUUAUAGAUGGCAAUAAAUUCUUAUUUAUUUUGUAUACAGUUAAUUCAAGAACAGUUUAGAAACUGUUAUUCGAAAGAACUUUUAAGUACCGUUUAAAACCUGAGCAGGAUUACAUGGAGAGUUUUCAGCUGAAAUUACCUGAAAUUAUUAAGAAAUAAAAUUAUUAAGAAAUUAUUAAGAAAUUAUUAAGAAAUUAUUAAGAGUUUUCAGUUGAAGCUACCCGAGCUGAAAACUUCAUCCCUGGUGACCGGGCUGAAAAUGUUUUAUUGGAGAAAAUGUUGAUUGGAUUAGCUGUAUACGUUAUUUAAUAUUUGUAUAGACAAAAUAUUCUAUGUUGAUAAAACCUAGUUGUAAAUUUAUGUAUUAAAAAUUAAACUUUACGCAUCUUAUUGUCGUAUUGAUCACCACAACCAAAAGAGUUUUGUACAAAACACAGCCCAGACCCAGGGGACCUUUUCUCGGCUGUCUUUGGUCAAUUUUGGGCUAGUAUUUGGUACGGUUUUCGGAUGUAAAAAAGCGCUGGAAUUGAAAAUAGAACGACUAUAUACAAGGCUCUGCACGCGCUUUGUGUGUUGUGUGCGCUCAACGGCUCAAGCAAAUCGGAGUCUAUUUGAAAAAAAUAUUGCCUAAGGAAAAUCACAUGGCAGAUUUAUACCUAAUUUAUACGAUAUUUUCUUGGGAUUUUACAUGGAGAGGCAUUCCGGAAUUUCCUGCCCAAAGUUGUCUAUGGCCAAAGACUUGGCCAACGUUUCACGGAAAAAAAUCGGGUGAAAUUUUGGCAGCGCGGAAUUCCAGAAUGCAUGCAUGACAGUGUCCUCCCUCCUACGUCAUUUGUACUUUAUACCCUGUAGCUUGCUGGCAAGAUGCCGGCGUAGUUAUUCAUGUCAUUGUGUACCUUCCUACGGACAUAUUCUAAACUACACACGUAAAAACGCACAAGUUGUAACAAACCUGCAGCAGACUUGUAUAGCAAUGCUGUUCCAACAACUUGUCAACAGGAUGUGUUCGCACUGCUUGUUCCCAGAACAAGUUACGAGUGACAACCUUGUAGCAACUUGAUAAAAUAACAGCAUUGCUACAACUUGCAAUACGCGAUAUAAGGACAAUUUAAGCCGGACCUAAAGUGUCAAGGAAUUGGGGAAAGCAAAGACUCGCUUAUCAGGCCAUAACAGACUGGAACAAUUUGGACAAAAAGAUAAAACUAUCUACUAGUAUUUCUACAUUUAAGAGAAACUUUUUUAGCAAUCUUUGAAC